rnacentral:rRNA from 1 species
UACGUAGGGUCCAAGCGUUAUCCGGAAUCACUGGGCGUAAAGCGCACGUAGGCGGAUGUGUCAGUCAGGGGUGAAAUCCCGGAGCUCAACUUCGGAACUGCCUCUGAUACAGCACGUCUUGAGUCCGAUAGAGGUGGGUGGAAUUCCUAGUGUAGAGGUGAAAUUCGUAGAUAUUAGGAAGAACACCGGUGGCGAAGGCGGCCCACUGGAUCGGUACUGACGCUGAGGUGCGAAAGCGUGGGGAGCAAACAGG